rnacentral:rRNA from 1 species
UACAGAGGUGGCAAGCGUUGUUCGGAAUUACUGGGCGUAAAGGGCGCGUAGGCGGCCUUCUAAGUCAGACGUGAAAUCCCCCGGCUUAACCUGGGAACUGCGUCUGAUACUGGGAGGCUCGAGUAUGGGAGAGGGAUGUAGAAUUCCAGGUGUAGCGGUGAAAUGCGUAGAUAUCUGGAGGAACACCGGUGGCGAAGGCGGCAUCCUGGACCAACACUGACACUGAGGAGCGAAAGCCAGGGGAGCAAACGGG